UACGUAGGGGGCAAGCGUUGUCCGGAUUUACUGGGCGUAAAGAGCGCGCAGGCGGUCGGAUAAGUCGAAUGGGAAAGCCCCCGGCUCAACUGGGGAGGGUCAUUCGAUACUGUUCGACUCGAAGGCAGGAGAGGGAAGUGGAAUUCCCGGUGUAGUGGUGAAAUGCGUAGAUAUCUGGAGGAACACCGGUGGCGAAGGCGGCAUCCUGGACCAAUACUGACGCUGAGGAGCGAAAGCCAGGGGAGCAAACGGG
rnacentral:rRNA from 1 species